rnacentral:rRNA from 1 species
CAGCAGCCGCGGUAAGACGAACCGUGCGAACGUUAUUCGGAAUCACUGGGCUUAAAGCGCGUGUAGGCGGAUGGGAGCGUCGGCCUCUGAAAUCCCCCGGCUCAACCGGGGAAGUGGAGCCGAAACGACCCGUCUGGAGGGACGUAGGGGGACCUGGAACUUCCGAUGGAGCGGUGAAAUGCGUUGAGAUCGGAAGGAACGCCCGUGGCGAAGGCGAGGUCCUGGACGUCUGCUGACGCUGAGACGCGAAAGCCAGGGGAGCGAACGGGAUUAGAUACCCGAGUAGUCCCUGUCUCUUAUU